UACGAAGGGGGCUAGCGUUGCUCGGAAUUACUGGGCGUAAAGGGAGCGUAGGCGGACAGUUAAGUCAGAGGUGAAAGCCCAGGGCUCAACCCUGGAAUUGCCUUUGAUACUGAUUGUCUUGAGUAUGGGAGAGGUAUGCGGAACUCCGAGUGUAGAGGUGAAAUUCGUAGAUAUUCGGAAGAACACCAGUGGCGAAGGCGGCAUACUGGCCCAUUACUGACGCUGAGGCUCGAAAGCGUGGGGAGCAAACAGGG
rnacentral:rRNA from 1 species